GACGAACGCUGGCGGCGUGCUUAACACAUGCAAGUCGAACGGAAAGGCCCUGCUUUUGUGGGGUGCUCGAGUGGCGAACGGGUGAGUAACACGUGAGUAACCUGCCCUUGACUUUGGGAUAACUUCAGGAAACUGGGGCUAAUACCGGAUAGGAGCUCCUGCUGCAUGGUGGGGGUUGGAAAGUUUCGGCGGUUGGGGAUGGACUCGCGGCUUAUCAGCUUGUUGGUGGGGUAGUGGCUUACCAAGGCUUUGACGGGUAGGCCGCCUGAGAGGGUGACCGGCCACAUUGGGACUGCGAUACGGCCCAGACUCCUACGGGAGGCAGUAGUGGGGAAUAUUGCACAAUGGGCGGAAGCCUGAUGCAGCAGCGCCGCGUGCGGGAUGACGGCCUGCGGGUUGUAAACCGCUUUCGCCUGUGACGAAGCGUGAGUGACGGUAAUGGGUAAAGAAGCACCGGCUAACUACGUG
rnacentral:rRNA from 1 species